rnacentral:ncRNA from 1 species
AUGAGUGCCUGUCCACCCCAUUCUUUCCGCGGCUGCGCCGUACAUCAUGCCUCUGUGGUUGAGGCAGAGAGGCGCAACGCGAUGACCGAAGUCGAGCCGCUUGCCCCGUUUGCCGGGGCGGCGGCUUUUUUA